GAAAGCCGUAUUCGACGAAAGUCGUAUGUAUGGUUUGAAGGGAGAUCUUUCAUACCUUUAGAGAUCCACCCUAC
rfam:Picea glauca, whole genome shotgun sequence.